rnacentral:rRNA from 1 species
UACGUAGGGUGCGAGCGUUGUCCGGAAUUAUUGGGCGUAAAGAGCUCGUAGGCGGUUUGUUGCGUCUAUCGUGAAAACCUGCAGCUUAACUGUGGGCUUGCAGUGGAUACGGGUAGACUAGAGGCAGGUAGGGGAGAAUGGAAUUCCCGGUGUAGCGGUGAAAUGCGCAGAUAUCGGGAGGAACACCGGUGGCGAAGGCGGUUCUCUGGGCCUGACCUGACGCUGAGGAGCGAAAGCGUGGGGAGCGAACAGG